UAAUCUAUGUUGGUGUAUCGUGUGGCAUUUCAAGCAUUUUACUGGCCAUUAUUGCGACUUUUGUCAUUCUAGUGGUACGACGAAGAAGGCAAAAGAAUAAACAAGGAUCGGUCGAAAAUAACGGAUACAUUUUGGAAUCUUACGAGAACUUGGAAACCGUUCCAAAGAAUAAAUACAAAAUUAAAGGCAAAGAUACACCAGG